rnacentral:rRNA from 1 species
UACGGAGGGUGCAAGCGUUAUCCGGAUUCACUGGGUUUAAAGGGUGCGUAGGAGGAAAGGUAAGUCAGUGGUGAAAUCUCCAAGCUUAACUUGGAAACUGCCGUUGAUACUAUCUUUCUUGAAUACCGUGGAGGUGAGCGGAAUAUGUCAUGUAGCGGUGAAAUGCUUAGAUAUGACAUAGAACACCAAUUGCGAAGGCAGCUCACUACACAAAUAUUGACACUGAGGCACGAAAGCGUGGGGAUCAAACAGG